CAAGGAGUCAAGGGAAUGGUAGGUAUGGGAUUGCUUCUGUAUCUAAUGGAAUGGAAGGCGCUUAGGGAAUUUUUAAUUUCCUAAUGCUAAUGGAAGGCUAGGUGAGGUAUUACGACCGUUCAGGCGAUCAGAGGCGAUCAGUAGUGUUGUGUUCUUAUAAAGGAAAUUCCAUUGACAAGGUGGAAGGAAGGGCGGUGGGUGGGUGACGGCUAGGACUGGUGGUUGUGUUAAGUAUUGCUUGAUGCUCUUGAACGCGUUGUCACAGGCUUGAUCCCAUACGAAAUCGAUCCCUUUCAUCAUUAGGCGUGAAAACGGUUGACACCUUCCUGAUAGGUUUGAGAUGAAUCUUCUGAUGUAGGAUAAAAAAACCUUGUAGCCGUUUGAGUUCCCGGAGGUUAGUUGGUGGUUUCAUUUCAAGGAUGGCUUUAGUUUUGGCUGGGUCAACUGUGAUUCCAUCUUUUGUAAUAACAAACCCCAAGAACUUUCCAGUUACUACCCCCAUAAAGAAUUUGAGGUCUGUCGAGCCUCAUGUUGUGCUUUCGAAGUAUCUCGAAGACCCUUCGUAGAUCUGCGAGGUGAUCUUCUUUCUUUCUGCUUUUAACUGCGAGGUCAUCCACGUAACACUCUACUGUUUUAUGUUGUUGAUCUCGAAAUAUCUGCAUCAUAGCCCGUUGGUAGGUGGCACCAGCAUUUUUGAGACCGAAUGGCAUCACCGUAUAGCAGUACGUACCGAAUGGAGUUCUAAAGGACGUGUGCCUUUCGUCGUCUGGAUCCAUUUGGAUUUGGUUAUACCCAGACAAGCCAUCCAUGAAAGACAUCUGUUCAUAUCCGCAGGUAUUCUACCUUAGGGAAUGCGUUAUUCAGGUCUCUGAAGUCAAUGCAAACCCGAAUCUGCCCGUUCUUCUUGGUCACUGAGACAAUGUUUGCCAACCAAUCGGGAUCUUUCUCUUCUCUUAUGAAACCCACAUCCUUUAAUUUCUGUACUUAUUUAUAAAUCUUCUCCAUGAGGAGUGGAUGAAAGCGUCGUUGCGCUUGCUUGAAGGGCUUAGCAUCUGGUUUGAUAUGUUGCCUGUGGACGGCGAUUUCAGGGUCUAGCCCAGGCAUCUCAGCGUAACUCCAGGCAAAUAUGUCCAAGUAUUCCUUAAGGAGCUGGACGUAUUGUUCAGCUUCCUCUGAUGAUAGGCUGGCACUUAGGAAGAUUGGGCGAGGGUCGCCUUCCGUUCCCAGGUCAACCUGUCGAACUUCAUCAUCUGUGGGUGGUACUGGUUUCAGGUUCUCUCGAGGGGCUCGAAGAGCGGGUCAUCUUCCCAAGUCAUGAUUUCUUGCCCAUCUUCUUCGACUGAAACCAUAUUUGCAGUUACUACCCGAAAAUAAUCUUCCUCGGGCUCUGUCAGGAACCCGUCAAUCUCGCUCCA